UUUUAUCUAUAUGUAUCUACUCCUAUUUUUAUCAUCAUCAAAGUCACUCUUUGACAUUUUCUCCUCAAUAUCAUGCACAUAUCUAUUCACAUGGAUGUUGUGCCUCUCCCUCACAUUGUUCACUUGUAUUUGGCAAGAAUGGAGCCGGCCAAUUAUGUUGGCAUGGCAAUUUCGGCCAGCCACUUUCCUCCUCACUUUCUUCUCUUGCAAGACUUGCCUCUCAACUACCCCAACAAUUAAAUGGGCAGCCACCCAUCCUAGCCAAUCAAAAAGGAGGCAGCCAACCCCCUCUCCCUCUAUAAAUGGCCCUUGGCCGGCCACCUCCACUCCUCUUGCUCUCAUUUUUCUUCUCUCCACUCACUCCUCCACCUUAUCUACUCCCUCACACUCUUCUCCUACUCUCCCCCACGAAAAUUCAGCUCCACCUAGCUCCCAUGGCCGGCCAUGGCCAUGGAAAGAACUCCAAGAUGAAGCUCCCUCCUCCCUCAAGCUCCUCCUCACCAUGAGAGCCUCCCUCUCCUUCUUCUCCCCAACCCUAGAUGGUUUUCUCUCCUCUUCCCCUUCCUCCAUUGCUAAGAUUGGAUCUUGAUGCAGGUGCAUGUUGGUCCAAGCAUGGAGAAGCUUGAGCUAUCCUCAGAUCUGAAGUUCUUGAGCAAAAUCCAAAUCGAGUGAUUCAAAGUUCCACAGAUAGAUACGGAAAAGACCUACAACUUGGCGUUGGUCUCAUCCUCAAAUUCGUUACGGAUUGUCCGCGGUGAAAGCCCUCUUCAAUACCUUCAUUUUGGCGGUGGUUUCACUUCGAUUGACCUCCUGAAACUGAAAUGGUUCACAGAUCAAGAUCUGGUCAGAUAUGACUUUGUCGAAUUAAACCAGGAGCUUGGGAACGAAUUUUUGAAUGAAACAAAUUGGGGGAUGUUUGGUUUAUACCAUGGUGAUAACCGAGAGAGGCAAUUGCUAAGUUAUGAUACUCUCAUACCUUUACUAGACGCGAGCAAUUCCGGAGAAGAAGAAGAAGUGGAAUUGGACAAGGAUUUUAUUUAUAUUGUUGGGAUUCUUAUAUUGAUAGAGUUGAAGAAGUACAGGGACAAAUAAGCCAAG